UCUGCAACUCCACGACUCUCACCGACUCUCUCUUCUCUCUCUGCAACUCCACGAACUGAGUCUCUCUCUCUCUGUGCAACUCCAGCAGCUACCCACCGUCUCUCUCUCUCUCUCUCUCUCUCUCUCUCUCUCUCUCUCUCCCCUUCUGCCAAGCAAGAGCUCUCUCUUAAUCGGGCGGCAAAGCAACCUCCGUACGUGGCGCAAUCACUCCCAAUUUCCCUCUCUCAGUUGCCCCUUUACAUUCCUCUGAUGGUGCUGAGUCAAGGAAUUCGGUUAUCAGGAAUGUGAAAUGUCUUAAUGCACCCAUUCUGUACUGGUGGGUCCAUAGUUUGAUUAUGGUGACUGCUGUGCUGGUGGACCCAUUCCUGAGCAUAGUUCUGAAACUCAACUCAGAAACUUGGAUGAGUCAAGCUCGACUUGGAGAGAUUUCGAGCAGUCUUAUAGAAACUCAGUUCUGGAUCCAACUUGAUCCCGACUUGAGCACAUGUAGUGGGUUUCUAUUUUUAUUUUUACAUUAAAAA